GGACGGGUACCGAAGCGGUCAUAACGGCGCUGACUCGAAAUCAGAUGGUGGGGGCGACCCUGCACGGGGGUUCGAAUCCCUCCUCGUCCGCCA
rnacentral:tRNA from 2 species